GAUGGACGCUGGCGGCGUGCCUAAUACAUGCAAGUCGAGCGAACAGAUGAGGAGCUUGCUCCUCUGACGUUAGCGGCGGACGGGUGAGUAACACGUGGAUAACCUACCUAUAAGACUGGGAUAACUUCGGGAAACCGGAGCUAAUACCGGAUAAUAUAUUGAACCGCAUGGUUCAAUAGUGAAAGACGGUUUUGCUGUCACUUAUAGAUGGAUCCGCGCCGCAUUAGCUAGUUGGUAAGGUAACGGCUUACCAAGGCAACGAUGCGUAGCCGACCUGAGAGGGUGAUCGGCCACACUGGAACUGAGACACGGUCCAGACUCCUACGGGAGGCAGCAGUAGGGAAUCUUCCGCAAUGGGCGAAAGCCUGACGGAGCAACGCCGCGUGAGUGAUGAAGGUCUUCGGAUCGUAAAACUCUGUUAUUAGGGAAGAACAAAUGUGUAAGUAACUAUGCACGUCUUGACGGUACCUAAUCAGAAAGCCACGGCUAACUACGUG
rnacentral:rRNA from 1 species